rnacentral:rRNA from 1 species
UACAUGGGGUGCAAACGUUGCUCGGAAUCAUUGGGCGUAAAGCGCGCGUAGGCGGUUACUUAGGUCGAAUGUGAAAGCCCUCGGCUUAACCGAGGAAGUGCAUCCGAAACUGAGUAGCUAGAGUACGAAAGAGGGUCGCGGAAUUCCCGGUGUAGAGGUGAAAUUCGUAGAUAUCGGGAGGAACACCGGUGGCGAAGGCGGCGACCUGGGUCGAGACUGACGCUGAGGCGCGAAAGCGUGGGGAGCAAACAGG